GGUUCGUGCUAGGCCCGCCCACCGAGCUUUUCAAUUGGAUUGAAUCCCGGAACUCAUGUGCAAACUUCUGGGAAGAGAAGUUUUCUUUCUUUUUGAACCUGGAUCUGGGAAGACGAAGGCCUGGAACUACUUUGUCACCGGGUUUUGUUCAGAGAUGUGAGCUGCAGCCACCAUCUGGAUCCAGGCAGGCGUUUUGUAUCUGGAACCUCGGGUCUCCACAAACAGACCCCCUUCCUGUGUGUCACACAUGUUACCAAACUCCUCCAUUGAAACAUGAAUGAUUCAUGUCACUAAGGUU